rnacentral:pre_miRNA from 1 species
ACAACAACAUUCGGACCGUCGGUCUACCGAGCAAAUAUCACGCGCUCGGUGGAAGAUCUUCCCUCAUCAUCAUC